CGGUAAUACGAGGGGUACAAGCGUUAAUCGGAAUGACGGGGCGUAAAGCGCGCGUAGGUGGUUAGGUAAGUUGGAUGUGAAAGCCCUGGGCUCAACCUGGGAACUGCAUCCAAAACUGCUUGGCUAGAGUACGGUAGAGGGUAGUGGAAUUUCCUGUGUAGCGGUGAAAUGCGUAGAUAUAGGAAGGAACACCAGUGGCGAAGGCGACUACCUGGACUGAUACUGACACUGAGGUGCGAAAGCGUGGGGAGCAAACAG
rnacentral:rRNA from 1 species